CGCAAACCCCCAGAUCAGAUGAGACCACAACGCACCGCGACGAAACUCUAGCUUCCGACGAGCGUCGUCGUAGCGAUGGUGUACUUUGGACGAGUACGUCGACCAAUUCAUGCAAGUUCUUCUGCUUCAGCCCCAAUACUGUGUGAAGAAAGUGUGUAUUGUUGGACUUUUUCUCGUACAGAAAUGCAGAUCUCUUGAUUCACCCCCUAUGACCGUGAUCAGGCCUAUGUGUGACGCUUGAUCUCCAAGCUCCGGAAUUAUUGUGCCUAUGUGCGGUGUCAUUUGACUCCAAGGUUUCACAUGUUUGACGCCUAGGCGGCCACAUUGUGUAAGGUAA